rnacentral:rRNA from 1 species
UAGGGAAUCUUCGGCAAUGGACGAAAGUCUGACCGAGCAACGCCGCGUGAGUGAAGAAGGUUUUCGGAUCGUAAAACUCUGUUGUUAGAGAAGAACAAGGACGUUAGUAACUGAACGUCCCCUGACGGUAUCUAACCAGAAAGCCACGGCUAACUACGUGCCAGCAGCCGCGGUAAUACGUAGGUGGCAAGCGUUGUCCGGAUUUAUUGGGCGUAAAGCGAGCGCAGGCGGUUUCUUAAGUCUGAUGUGAAAGCCCCCGGCUCAACCGGGGAGGGUCAUUGGAAACUGGGAGACUUGAGUGCAGAAGAGGAGAGUGGAAUUCCAUGUGUAGCGGUGAAAUGCAUAGAUAUAUGGAGGAAAACCAGUGGCGAAGGCGGCUCUCUGGUCUGUAACUAACGCUGAGGCUCGAAAGCGUGGGGAGCAAACAGG